UACGUAGGGUGCAAGCGUUGUCCGGAAUUAUUGGGCGUAAAGGGCUCGUAGGCGGUUUGUCACGUCGGGCGUGAAAACUCAGGGCUCAACCCUGAGCGUGCUUCCGAUACGGGCAGACUAGAGGUAUGCAGGGGAGAACGGAAUUCCUGGUGUAGCGGUGGAAUGCGCAGAUAUCAGGAGGAACACCGGUGGCGAAGGCGGUUCUCUGGGCAUUACCUGACGCUGAGGAGCGAAAGCAUGGGGAGCGAACAGG
rnacentral:rRNA from 1 species